rnacentral:rRNA from 1 species
CAGGACGAACGCUGGCGGCGUGCCUAACACAUGCAAGUCGAACGGACGAGGGGAGGCUUGCUCCCCAAGUUAGUGGCGGACGGGUGAGUAACACGUGAGCAACCUGCCCUUCGAGGGGGACAACAGCUGGAAACGGCUGCUAAUACCGCAUGACACAGCGGGGAGGCAUCUCUCUGCUGUCAAAGAUUUAUCGCCGAAGGAUGGGCUCGCGUCUGAUUAGAUAGUUGGUGAGGUAACGGCCCACCAAGUCUACGAUCAGUAGCCGGACUGAGAGGUUGAACGGCCACAUUGGGACUGAGAUACGGCCCAGACUCCUACGGGAGGCAGCAGUGGGGAAUAUUGGGCAAAUGGGGGCAACCCUGACCCAGCAACGCCGCGUGAAGGAAGAAGGCUUUCGGGUUGUAAACUUCUUUGACGAGGGACGAUAGUGACGGUACCUCGAAAACAAGCCACGGCUAACUACGUGCCAGCCGCGGC